AGUGAACGCUGGCGGCGUGCUUAACACAUGCAAGUCGAACGAGAACGGAUUAUAGCUUGCUAUAAUUGUCAGCUAAGUGGCGCACGGGUGAGUAAUGUAUAGGUAAUAUGCCUCUUACUAAGGGAUAACAAAUGGAAACGUUUGCUAAUACCUUAUACUCCUUAUUAACAGAAGUUAAUAAGGGAAAGAUUUAUUGGUAAGAGAUUAGCCUGUAUUGUAUCAGUUAGUUGGUGGGGUAAUGGUCUACCAAGACUAUGACACAUAACUGGUUUGAGAGGAUGAUCAGUCACACUGGAACUGAGACACGGUCCAGACUCCUACGGGAGGCAGCAGUGGGGAAUAUUGCACAAUGGACGAAAGUCUGAUGCAGCAACGCCGCGUGGAGGAUGACACAUUUCGGUGCGUAAACUCCUUUUAUAUGAGAAGAUAGUGACGGUAUUAUAUGAAUAAGCACCGGCUAACUCCGUGCCAGCAGCCGCAGUAACAC
rnacentral:rRNA from 1 species